UUGCAAACAACAGGUAAAGACACAUUGUUAAGCUUAAACAAACCUGACUGUUUUUACAGCUCACAGGACAAAACCAACAGCUACAGCUACUGUUUCCAGACCUGCUGAGCCUAGUGACCCCCCUGUGAAAGCUAUAGUGAAGACCCCACUGCCAGUCCCUCCUUAGCCGUUUGCCAUCGCUCCACAACUUGGGAUAGAAGAGCAGACGCCCAAUGUGUUUAGACAAACUUUUUUAAAAGCACAUGAAAAGCCAGUCUCCCACAGUUCAUCUUCUGGGCCUGGGAUAACAGCAGCUCCAUGUCUUCCUGAAGAUUCAUCGUUACAGAAUAUUGCCCCUAUGGAAGCACAAAAAGACACUGUCCUUGAUGAAGCUUCGCCAUGUCCAGCACCUCCUGUCCCAUUAGAUGCCCCACACCAGCCUGCAGCCUCUGUCCCAGGCCAUGAUCAGGAUGUUGCACAGUAGAAGAUCUGGAUGAAGACUGAGAUGGAGGCAUUGGGGCUGUGGCCGCGGUCAUGUCCAGUACGUC